rnacentral:rRNA from 1 species
GGGCCUGCACAAGCGGUGGAGUAUGUGGCUUAAUUCGAUGCAACGCGAAGAACCUUACCUGGCCUUGACAUGCAUCUCUAAGCGUGUGAAAGCACGUGACCCCUCGGGGAAUUUGCACAGGUGCUGCAUGGCUGUCGUCAGCUCGUGUCGUGAGAUGUUGGGUUAAGUCCCGCAACGAGCGCAACCCCACGUCUUUAGUUGCCAGCAUUUAGUUGGGCACUCUAGAGAGACUGCCGUGAUAAACCGGAGGAAGGUGUGGAUGACGUCAAGUCAUCAUGCCCCUUACAUCUGGGCUACACACGUACUACAAUGCUACGGACAAAGGGCAGCAAGUUCGCGAGGACAAGCAAAUCCCAUAAACGUGGCUC